CGGUAGGCCUAACACAUGCAAGUUCGAACGGCAGCACAGUAAGAGCCUUGCUCUUAUGGGUGGCGAGUGGCGGACGGGUGAGGAAUACAUCGGAAUCUACCUUUUCGUGGGGGAUAACGUAGGGAAACUUACGCUAAUACCGCAUACGACCUUCGGGUGAAAGCAGGGGACCUUCGGGCCUUGCGCGGAUAGAUGAGCCGAUGUCGGAUUAGCUAGUUGGCGGGGUAAAGGCCCACCAAGGCGACGAUCCGUAGCUGGUCUGAGAGGAUGAUCAGCCACACUGGAACUGAGACACGGUCCAGACUCCUACGGGAGGCAGCAGUGGGGAAUAUUGGACAAUGGGCGCAAGCCUGAUCCAGCCAUACCGCGUGGGUGAAGAAGGCCUUCGGGUUGUAAAGCCCUUUUGUUGGGAAAGAAAAGCAAUCGAUUAAUACUCGGUUGUUCUGACGGUACCCAAAGAAUAAGCACCGGCUAANUUCNUGCCANCAGCCGCGGUAAUACGAAGGGUGCANGCNUUACUCGGAAUUACUGNNCGUAAAGCNUGC
rnacentral:rRNA from 1 species